ACGGGUGAGUAAUAUAUCGGAACGUGCCCUGGAGUGGGGGAUAACUAGUCGAAAGAUUAGCUAAUACCGCAUACGAUCUAAGGAUGAAAGUGGGGGAUCGCAAGACCUCAUGCUCGUGGAGCGGCCGAUAUCUGAUUAGCUAGUUGGUAGGGUAAAAGCCUACCAAGGCAUCGAUCAGUAGCUGGUCUGAGAGGACGACCAGCCACACUGGAACUGAGACACGGUCCAGACUCCUACGGGAGGCAGCAGUGGGGAAUUUUGGACAAUGGGCGCAAGCCUGAUCCAGCAAUGCCGCGUGAGUGAAGAAGGCCUUCGGGUUGUAAAGCUCUUUUGUCAGGGAAGAAACGGUGAGAGCUAAUAUCUUUUGCUAAUGACGGUACCUGAAGAAUAAGCACCGGCUAACUACGUGCCAGCAGCCGCGGUAAUACGUAGGGUGCAAGCGUUAAUCGGAAUUACUGGGCGUAAAGCGUGCGCAGGCGGUUGUGUAAGUCAGAUGUGAAAUCCCCGGGCUCAACCUGGGAAUGGCAUUUGAGACUGCAUGGCUAGAGUGUGUCAGAGGGGGGUAGAAUUCCACGUGUAGCA
rnacentral:rRNA from 1 species